GUCUCUGUGGUGCAAUCAGUUAGCGCAUUCAGCUGUUAACUGAAAGGUUGAUGGUUCAAGCCCACCCAGGGAUG
rfam:Danio rerio chromosome 4, GRCz11 reference primary assembly.